rnacentral:rRNA from 1 species
AUUGAACGCUGGCGGCAGGCCUAACACAUGCAAGUCGAGCGAGCGGCGGACGGGCGAGUAAUGUAUGGGGACUGCCCGAUAGAGGGGGAUAACUACUGUAAACGGUGGCUAAUACCGCAUCCUAUCGGAUAACCCAUAUGGGAUUAGCUAGUCGGUGGGGUAAAGGAUCACCUAGGCGACGAUCUCUAGCUGGUCUGAGAGGAUGAUCGGCCACACGGGGACUGAGACACGGCCCAGACUCCUACGGAGGCAGCAGUGGGGAAUAUUGCGCAAUGGGCGAAAGCCUGAUGGAGCAAUGCCGCGUGGGUGAAGAAGGCCUUAGGAUUGUAAAGUACUGUCAGCGGGGAGGCGGUACCCGCAGAGGAAGCACCGGCUAACUACGUGCCAGCCGCCGCGGUAAUAC